UGCGGAGUGGAGAACAUCGGUCAUCUCGCCAGGAUCAUCACCUGGAGACUGCGGGUUCGACUCCCGCCUCCGCAA
rnacentral:tRNA from 1 species